AUUGCCGGUAACCUAUUUAAUCUGGAAGCACAAACCUCUCCGGUCCUUUCACCGACUGUGCUGCUCUCAGGAGAGGUUCAGGGAAUGGAAACGCAUUCUCCGUACAUAAUGCAAAACAACAUCAGCUGUUCAGGCAUUUCUACUGACAUGUUCUGUUCGGGCCAUAUGCCAUGUGGGGGACACCUGUAUGAAACAGAUGGAGGAUGAUGGCUGAAGUUUCUGCUUAUGCAGACUGUGCUGUUGCAACACCACAGUCUGCCAUGGCAGGAUAAUUACUUGAGAAAAUGAAUCUGAGAAAGGAGCUUGACAAGAGGAUUGCUACCAUCUGCAUCAAUUCACGUGUGAAAAUGCUCAAGGCUAAGAUAUUGCAGGAGCUGUAACAGACACCAUUGAACAGUCUUUGUCAAAGCUGAUACUUUACAGGUAAGCAAGACACUGCAAAAACCUGAUGGAGAUUGAACCAGUGGAAUAUUUCUCAUCCCCCCCCCCGAUGCCAAACAAACUUACUUGAAUGCCAUAUCCGAUCACUGGCAGUUUCAUCUGCCAAGAAAUAAACUAUUCAACUCCA